AGUAUAAUAAAUUAUUACGUCAAGAUUCCUCACCAAAGCAGAGAAGAGGAGAAAAAAGAAUCCUACUCUUCGAUAUAUAACUAGACUCAAAGUAGUUUUUCACUAGACUCGACUCUGCCAAGUUCGAUCAAUCAAGGGGGCUCAUAGGUCGGUACUGCCGUGAUACCAACUUGUCACGCCCAAGAUGCGACCCUAUCCUCAAUUUGGCACGAGGGCCUCGUCAGGGAUAGAAGCGCAUCUCGUCGUGUCGCAAGAAUGGAUAUCGUUACAAGUACAUGUACUGAAAAGAAGAGUUAUAUAAAUAGAAUUGGCUUACACUCGCCACAAGCUACAUCGGAGUCACAUCAGUACAAUACAUAAACAUCACGAAGAAGAGCAGGGUCCAACAACGGACGAAAACAAACAAGAAACUAAUAACGACGUCCACCCUUGCUAUCCCAGGCUGCCGACCUGGAACCCAUCCUAGAUCGGUGAAGAAGAUGAAGAAGAAGCAACUCCAAAUGAACAAUCAACGCGCU
rnacentral:lncRNA from 1 species